rnacentral:misc_RNA from 1 species
GUAACCACCUCUUUUUCCACACUCGCCAUAGUAACCUUUAGAGACCGAUUGAAAUGACACCAAUGCGAUAUCCUCAUUGCCAUAGCCCAUAGACCGGGAAAUCUUCUUAAAAGAGUGGAACUUUUUAUCAGGAACGUAAAUGUUUUCCUGAUAUACCUCAUCCGCAAGAAGAACAAGGCCCUCUUGUUUGCAGAAUUCCACAAUCUGCCGUUGAUUAUCCUCAGCAAGAACCUGUCCUGUGGGAUUCCCA